UACGUAGGGUGCAAGCGUUGUCCGGAAUUAUUGGGCGUAAAGAGCUCGUAGGCGGUUUGUUGCGUCGGCUGUGAAAUCCCGAGGCUCAACCUCGGGUCUGCAGUCGAUACGAGCAAACUAGAGUGUUGCAGGGGAGACUGGAAUUCCUGGUGUAGCGGUGAAAUGCGCAGAGUAUCAGGAAGAACACCGGUGGCGAAGGCGGCUCUCUGGGCCUUACCUGACGCUGAGGAGCGAAAGCGUGGGUAGCGAACAGG
rnacentral:rRNA from 1 species